GACGAACGCUGGCGGCAUGCCUAACACAUGCAAGUCGAACGGAGUUUCUUAAAUGGAUUUCUUCGGAAUGAAGCUUAUGAAACUUAGUGGCGGACGGGUGAGUAACGCGUGGGUAACCUGCCCUUUUGUGGGGAACAACUUCGAGAAAUCGGAGCUAAUACCGCAUAUACUUACGGGAUCGCAUGAUCCUGUAAGGAAAGAUGGCCUCUGAAUAUGCUAUCGCAAAAGGAUGGACCCGCGUCUGAUUAGCUAGUUGGUGAGGUAACGGCUCACCAAGGCGACGAUCAGUAGCCGGCCUGAGAGGGUGAACGGCAACAUUGGGACUGAGACACGGCCCAAACUCCUACGGGAGGCAGCAGUGGGGAAUCUUCCGCAAUGGGCGAAAGCCUGACGGAGCAAUGCCGCGUGAGUGAAGAAGGCCUUCGGGUUGUAAAACUCUGUCCUUAUUGAAGAGAGGUAGCAGCGUGAAUAAUGCUGUUAUAGGACGGUAAAUAAGGAGGAAGCCCCGGCUAACUACGUGCCAGCCGCCGCAGUAAGAC
rnacentral:rRNA from 1 species